GCUCAAAUUCGGCUUGAAAUUAAUUUCGAGCCUAAAUUUAAGCUCAAGCUUGGAUUGAAAUUAAUUCGAGCCGAGCUCGAGCGAGCCUAAUUUCAAGUCGAGCGAGGUCGAGCCCUAAACGAGCCGCUUGAAAUUCUCAACAUUAUAUGAUCAAUAGUUUAAUUUGUAUAGAACAUUAUCUAUAAUUUGAUACAAAAAUAUGUCUAAUAGUUCAAAGUACAAAAUAAUUAUAUGAAAUAUAGU
rnacentral:lncRNA from 1 species